UACGAAGGUCCCAAGCGUUAUCCGGAUUUAUUGGGUUUAAAGGGUGCGUAGGCGGAUUAUUAAGUCAGUGGUGAAAGCCUUCAGCUUAACUGAAGAACUGCCAUUGAUACUGAUGAUCUUGAGUAUGAUUGAAGUGGGCGGAAUGUGUCAUGUAGCGGUGAAAUGCUUAGAUAUGACACAGAACACCGAUUGCGAAGGCAGCUCACUAAGCCAUAACUGACGCUGAGGCACGAAAGCGUGGGGAGCAAACAGG
rnacentral:rRNA from 1 species